ACUGAGAAUUGACUUUUCAAAAUUGAAGAAUCCAAACUACCAAAGUAGCUGACCGCCUCACAUUCAACAAUUCACCAAAAAUUUGUUCUAACUCCAAAUUAAGCAAGCCUUAGCUCAUUAGAAAGCUAACAAUAAGAGAUAUGUGCUUAAAAAAGAUUCACUUUCAAAAACAUAAAAACCAUAGACUGAUUGAGAUUUUGAUAUCCUCUAAACUCCUCAAACUAUUAAAUUAUUUGGAAACCACUGAUUCGAAUGGACUGCCUUCUAAACCACAAUAAACACUAGCCACAUACAAAAUCAAUGCCCCC
rnacentral:lncRNA from 1 species